rnacentral:rRNA from 1 species
CCUACGGGAGGCUGCAGUGGGGAAUAUUGCGCAAUGGGCGAAAGCCUGAAGCAGCGACGCAGCGUGAGGGAUGAAGGUCUUCGGAUCGUAAAACUCUGUUAGCAGGGAAGAACGGUCACUGUGCUAAUCAGCAGUGACUUGACGGUACCUGCAAAGGAAGCACAGGCUAACUCCGUGCCAGCAGCCGCGGUAAUACGGAGGGUGCGUGCGUUAAUCGGAAUUACUGGGCGGAAAGCGCUCGUAGGCGGUAUGUCAAGUCAAGGGUGAAAUCCCGGGGCUCAACGUGGGAACUGCAUUUGAAACUGGCAAACUGGAGUGUGUGAGAGGUGAGUGGAAUUCCAGGUGUAGGAGUGAAAUCCGUAGAUAUCUGGAGGAACAUCAAUGGCGAAGGCGACUAUCUGGCACAUAACUGACGCUGAGGAGCGAAAGCGUGGGUAGCAAACAGGAUUAGAUACCCUAGUAGUC